GUCAGGAUGGCCGAGUGGUCUAAGGCGGCAGACUAAGCAUCUGUUCCUCGCUAAAGAGGGCGUGGGUUCAAAUCCCACUCCUGACA
rnacentral:tRNA from 1 species